UACAGAGGGUGCAAGCGUUAAUCGGAUUUACUGGGCGUAAAGCGUGUGUAGGUGGCUUCCUAAGUCGGUUGUGAAAUCCCCGGGCUUAACCUGGGAAUGGCCUUUGUGACUGCCCGGCUAGAGUGUGUCAGAGGGGGGUAGAAUUCCACGUGUAGCAGUGAAAUGCGUAGAGAUGUGGAGGAAUACCGAUGGCGAAGGCAGCCCCCUGGGAUAACACUGACGCUCAUGCACGAAAGCGUGGGGAGCAAACAGG
rnacentral:rRNA from 1 species